AGCAGCCGCGGUAAUACGUAGGGGGCGAGCGUUGUCCGGAUUUAUUGGGCGUAAAGGGCGUGUAGGCGGCCGUUUAAGUCUCGCUGUGAAAUCGGGGGGCUCAACCCUCACGACUGCAGGGGAUACUGGGCGGCUGGAGAUAGGUAGAGGCGAGCGGAAUUCCGGGUGUAGCGGUGGAAUGCGUAGAGAUCCGGAAGAACACCAGAGGCGAAGGCGGCUCGCUGGACCUCAUCUGACGCUGAGGUGCGAAAGCGUGGGGAGC
rnacentral:rRNA from 1 species